ensembl:rRNA 5S_rRNA 5S ribosomal RNA
UCACCCUGAAUGCGCCUGGUCACCUCUGAUCUCGGAAGCUAGGCAGGGUCGAGCCUGGCUAGUACUCGGAUGGGAGCGCAGCACAGAGGUUCAGAA